AUUGAACGCUGGCGGCAGGCCUAACACAUGCAAGUCGAACGAGUGGCGGACGGGUGAGUAAUGUCUGGGAAAAUGCCUGAUGGAGGGGGAUAACUACUGGAAACGGUAGCUAAUACCGCCUACCAUCGGAUGUGGCCAGAUGGGAUUAGCUAGUUGGUGGGGAAACGGCUGACCAAGGCGACGAUCCCUAGCUGGUCUGAGAGACUGACCGGCCACACUGGAACUGAGACACGGUCCAGACUCCUACGGGAGGCAGCAGUGGGGAAUAUUGCACUAUGGGCGCAAGCCUGAUGCAGCCAUGCCGCGUGUAUGAAGAAGGCCUUCGGGUUGUAAAGUACUUUCAGCGGGGAGGCGUUACCCACAGAGGAAGCACCGGCUAACUCCGUGCCAGCAGCCGCGGUAAUUC
rnacentral:rRNA from 1 species